rnacentral:lncRNA from 1 species
GACCUCCACUCGCCCGCGGCCUGCGAGCACCCGCCCCUCGCGGGGGCCGGGCUGCGGGUCCGGGGGCGGGUGGUGUCGCCCCGGCCGAACCCCGGCCCCCUCCCCCACAGUCCCGACACUCGCCGCCGCCAUUUUGACCGCCCGCCCCUUCCCUCAGGACUGUACUCAAGCGACAGGCGCUGCGCGGGCCCGGCCGCCCGCCCCGGCGCGCCCAGCUUGCCGGGCGCUGCCCCGGUUACCUCGGCUUCUCCGCACUUGUGUCCGCGGAAGGCUUUGAGGAGGGCGGACCUCCAGGGCAGCGAUUGGACGGCGCUGGGCGCUUCCAGCAUGCUAUUGGCUACCAUCCACGCUUUUCAGUACCCUCUCGACUUCACCGAGCUCCGAUUCCUCAGUUCGGACGUCCGUCAGAGAAAGCUAAACCCUAAAAGGCAAGCGAAGCCCGUCACUCGCGCGAGGAAGCAGCCCUGAGAAUUACAAGGGGGUGGGAUGCCGCUCCAAAGUCGGCUCUCUGGUUGGACUAACGAGAGAUCAAUCUCGUCCAAAAGUUUGUCGCGCUCUCUUGCACAGGUCCACGGGGCGUCGGGAGUUGUAGUUCGGUCCUACGUACCGAUGAAAACCUCAAGACUUCCUCCUUGCUGGGCCACUCUCUUGCCUCUGGCGCUCAUGUCCCCCAAGGAACGCAGCGACUCUGUGCUGCCCUUCUGUGACGUCAGCGGCGGAGGCCGAACUCGGAAUUCGUUGACUUCACAGGCGCGUUCUCUUGGUCCAAGAGGGUUGAGAGAAAUCGGCUGGUACGAUUCUAGUCGGAGCCCCGGAAAGGUCACAGCCUGGCCGCGCCGCUAUCUCGGCCACUCAGGCAGUGAAAAGGUCUCUGGCCAGCAGACAUUUAAUGAGAAGACGAUAAGCAAAGGUCAGCGGCGUUUAUCCCCAGUGCUCCCCGCCGCUCCGGGCCUCAGUUUCCCCAAGAGAUAGGUCAGUUGCAGCCGGAGAAGGUGAAACAGAAAUAGCUCCGAAGGGAGUGAGUGCUUCGAGCUCAGAAAUUAAUCAUCAAGAUAAUAUUCUAAAGCAGUUUUUUAAAAUAUCAAUUAAUGGGAAAAAGAAGACGCACGGAGAACCAAAUGUCAAACAAAUGCAGUCAUUCUGCUGGCACCUAGGUUAGGGGAAAGUGGCUCUGUGUUCAAAUAUUUUUGUUUAUUGAGUCAGGAUUCUUUUCUAAAUGAGAUUCUAACUGCUUUUUCCACUAGGGAAUAUAAAUAACUGUGAGAGAGAUGAUGAAUAUGUUAAUUAGUUCCUUUAUAGUAACCACUUUCGCUUUACCAAUUGAUUAAUAGCCUAUUGUCUACUUAAAAAAUGUACAAAAAUGUCCAAGAUGGGUAGAGUGGCCAUGUAGACACAGCUGCUUUGCAGGCUGAGGCAGAUAGAUUGCUUAGAACUGAGCUAUAGAGCAAGUCCCAGCUCAAAACGAUGUUUUUUGUUUUUUGGGUUUUUUUUUUUUUUGGUUUUGUUUUUUGGGUUUUUUUGAGACAAAGUUUUAGAGGCAGGGCUGGCUCCAAACCACCUCUGAAGUUGAUGGUGACCACCUCCUAGCACUAGAGAUUACAGGGGUGUACCACCACACCUUAAGUUUUGCCACCCCAAAACCUAUAGAGUUGGGGAUGGAGAAAGGCUCAAAGCUUGGAGCCUUCAUUCCAGCUCUGCUGUGUUAUAUGGACAAAGUGACUCCACCUUUCUGAGCCCAAUCCCCAUACUUCUCAUAUGCAAAGUCCAGAAUUAUACAUGUAGAAACAGACAAGUGUCUACCUUUGUCUUACCUAUAAUGUCAGAACCUCAAUAAACAGAGUCAUGCUUU